ACGAACGCUGGCGGCGUGCCUAAUACAUGCAAGUCGAACGGUCUUUUCUAUGGAAGCUUGCUUCCACUGAGAAGAUAGUGGCGAACGGGUGAGUAACACGUGGGUAACCUGCCCAUAAGAGGGGGAUAACAUCCGGAAACGGGUGCUAAUACCGCAUAGUUUUCUUGAUCGCAUGAUUGAGAAAGGAAAGACGGCCUUUGUGCUGUCGCUUAUGGAUGGACCCGCGGCGUAUUAGUUAGUUGGUGAGGUAACGGCUCACCAAGACGAUGAUACGUAGCCGACCUGAGAGGGUGAUCGGCCACAUUGGGACUGAGACACGGCCCAAACUCCUACGGGAGGCAGCAGUAGGGAAUCUUCCGCAAUGGACGAAAGUCUGACGGAGCAACGCCGCGUGAGUGAAGAAAGGUUUUCGGAUCGUAAAACUCUGUUGUCAGAGAAGAACAAGUUGGAGAGUAACUGCUCCAGCCUUGACGGUAUCUGACCAGAAAGCCACGGCUAACUACGUGCCAGCAGCGGC
rnacentral:rRNA from 1 species